UUACGGCAAUAUCACGUUGAAACAGCGGUUCCCGUACGAUCACUGAAGUUAAGCUGGUCAGUACAUAGAUGGGUGUCUCUUUGGGAAUUCCAGGUACUGUAA